CACCAUUGGCAUUAGUGACAGCUGACAUACGAGCAUGGGAUAGGUUUUUUUAUGACACUAGGAUCAUGAGCCAUAUGAUCAGUUGCACCUGAGUCAAUUAUCACAUAUCUUUCCAUUUAAAGUUUGAAUUUUUCAAAGAGUGGCCAUAUGUAGCUAAGUUGGCAAAAGUACUAAUUUACCUCAUUCAUCAUCAAUGACAUCUUGGAGAGAGACAUAUUAUUGGUACAAAAUAUAAUCUCCUAUAAUCUUUUGAUUGAGCUGCCAUUUCGGGUCUAGUCAGGUCGGAUUGGAUUGAUGCAGGUCGGGUCGGACCGUCGGAGCCAGAAUUCACAGUCAGAGUACUUAAAUUCUAGCCUUCUGGAUGUUGAUGAGGCCGGUGUUUGAUCGAACCCACUGAAUCGACCUGCUACUGCAUGACGGUGACUGCUCCGGUAAGCAACGAUGAUGGCUGCACGACAUUGGCUACUCCGGUAAGCAACAAAGACAAGCAAUGUCGUCAUUGUUAGAUGAACAGAAGCUCGAUCAAGUCUGGUUGGAAGGUCCGGCGAAUUCUACCAUAGGUGUUCGUUGAGAAAUCACACAGUCUGGGCAGCGCCGGAAUCUGGGAGAGGAUGUCAGAAGUUUCUGCUCUGGUCGGAGUCCAAGUCGGAUCGUCUUGGUAUUCCCUUAAUUUUGGGCACGAUUUCUGUUGGUGAUCUGGGUCUGGUUUGAGUUUGAUCUCUGCUGGAAUUAUGGUCCGAGUUCCAGUCCGAUCUUUACCGAAACUAUGGUCUAGAUUCGAUGAUGAUCUCUGGGUAUAUGGAAUGGGUAUAUGGUAUGAAUCUGUUUCUAGUAUUGGUUUAGGUAUUGGUAUGGAUAAUUGGCUAUGGUACGGAUCUGGUAUGGGUAUUGUGUAUGAGAGCAAAAAAGGUUGUUCUUGGUAUGGCUAAGAUGAAGAACUUCAACCAAAAAAUAAAAGAUGAAGAACUUCAAAAGAAAUUAUUUAGAAUUUCAGCAGCGGAAUUUUGUAUGAGAGAUUUAGAUCUCAAAGAGCGUUUGCUCUUAUAUCAUGUUAAACAGCAACAAGUGUGGCUUGUAGCCCACAAUUGUACUUAUACGUCUCAACUUAAUUACCUGUUAGGUGUUAAGUUUUAAUCACAAAAGAUCUCGAUAUAAUUAAUUAUAUUUUAUUUGUCA